rnacentral:lncRNA from 1 species
UACACACAAUACUUCAAAUAACAACCAAAAUAAGUUAGUUACACGUAUAACUUAGAUAAAAUGGUAAUCACAGCUAGAAGCUCUACAAGUGUAACCACAACCACAAGCUCUACAUGUUUCUACAAGUGUACCACAAGCUCUACAAGUGCGCUUUGACAGCUUCAAGUGACCCUUCAUGACGGUAGGAAGAUGGUUUCUACCAGUCCCGAUUUAAGGAACACACCAGGCAUCACGGUCUUCCCGAUAGUGCUGACCAAGAUCUCAUCCUUCAUGGGCAUCAAAGUGAUGCAGCUGAAUGUGCCAGGAAAAGGAUUACCUGUCAACAGCCGAAUUUAUACAAGAUAUCAACCUUUCAGUGGUGCAGAAUAUCAUAGAGACACGUGCUUCAGCAUUACAGGGCAUGGAAACGAAAACACAUUUUUACAAAGGGCAUACAAUUAAGAAUUUACUAUCCCCAAAAUUAAAUUAGAAAAAACGAAAAAAACAAUGAAGUGUAAAAGAUGACAACCUUUGUGUUUCUACUUCCUACAAAUGACUAAGAUCCUCAAUAAUAUAGACCCGUUUGUUACAUACUGUACACGAUAUUAGGAGCAAAAUUCUAAUAAAUUCAUUACAGGCUUGCCAAUAAAAAUGACAAGUUACCUACAGACCAGGGAACAUAAAAUUGAGAGGUUGAGAUAAAGGUUUAUCAACUACAUCAUAUAUAUGCAUUAGAAACAAGCCCAUAUGGACAAAUGCAUCAUAAUUAUUAGUUGAAAGUAGGUGCUGCCUCAAAUUUAAAAACUCAACCAUUCAUCAUUAAGAGUAGCGAUUUAAUCUUACUAGACAUAGGGACAUGUACAACGUGAGAGCACACUACAGCCAGAACUUACACGCAAAGAUCCUGGAAUUUUAUGCACAACAACAGCUGAUUAGUCGCUUACUACCGUAGACGAGACGUCAUCCUCAACUACUAGCACACUACCUGCAUCAACCAGAAUAACUAGACUGAGAUUGCAUCAUGGAAACUAGAAUUGGCAAUCGAUUGUUCCACAGUAAUAGAAAAAAAAUACAUGGUCAGUACCUUGCCAUCGUGUUGAUUUGGGACAUCCUCCAUCUUAAAAACUGUCGUGCCAGGGAUGGUGGUGCCUAGUUUUCACUAUUUCUGUUCAUGCUUGCCUGUGCAAAAAAGCAAAAAUGAAUGGACUAUUUCCAUGACUUCUACGCUGAACCAGUUUUUCAUAUAUUUGCACGGGUGAAAAACUCAAGCAAAAGAAGAAAGCAUGCAUGCAAAUUAUUUCUCCCUUUUUAUCUACCUCUCUCUCUCUCCCUCUCUGUGAUUGCCUACACAAACACAUAUUAUUGCCUAUGGAUGCAGGUGGUAUUAGGAAAAUAGGAAAUGGCUAUCAGGAAAAGGCAGAGUAUGUACAAGCAAAACACAAUCUUAUACAGGUUGCUCCGUUGGCGUAAGAAAAAACAGAUGGUAUUGCCUACAUUUAUUUUUUCCUUGCUUAUUUUCAUCUAUUUGCUUAAAAAAACAGCAAAUGGUACUCCCUGCGGACCCAUCCAGUAUUGCCACUGCCCNNNNNNNNNNNNNNNNNNNNNNNNNNNNNNNNNNNNNNNNNNNNNNNNNNNNNNNNNNNNNNNNNNNNNNNNNNNNNNNNNNNNNNNNNNNACCUCCUUUUAUCCCCAAAACAGAGCAGUAUAUUCAGGGGUAGAUAAUAUUGUCAUGAGGCCUUAACCCUGUAAAAUCCGAGCGAGCUCAAGUCAAAAACAGAUGGUAUGCGAGUAUGCGAAAUAUAUUUUGAAGCUAAAUCGCCUACAAACACACAUUAUAUUGCCUACGAAAAACAGAUAAAUCUCUGUUUCGACAGUGGAAUCCCACUAUGUUCGAUGGUGCGUUACAAAAACCGACACGGCAUCAUGUGGAUGAUGCGGGAUUGCACGCGGGCUCGCAGCGCGUCGACUACCCUCUCGAUAGACACACGUGAUUCAUCCUCCCCCCAACACAACAACCAGCAGCACACAGGUUCAAUUGUUGUUGCCUGCACAUGGCAGCGCCUCCUUCGUGGAAAUCUGGAGCACCACCAUCAGUUUCAGUUUCCCAGGGGCUGCUGCUUUUAUCCCAUCAGUAGCGAGUGAUGCAAAUACCGGGAGCGCCACCAGCUCCGCCCGCACCCAUCUCCGAGCCUAUGACACACCCAACCCCACUCCCCUCAACGCCUCAUGAACAGACCCCAAGUCCCCAAUCUGGUGCAUCUACCCCCGCCCCUCCCGCUCGUGGCUAUUGACGACAAUGAGCGUCGGCGAGGAAGCCCCGCCAACCCGAGACGUGUGAGCGAAAAUUGACCUCGAGGUCGUUGAUGGAGAAGGAUCCCUCGUCGCCUCCUGGUUGUCUGCCCGCCUCGCGCAAGCCAGCAGCUCCUUCCCGCUCCCUUCUCCCUCCCUCUUCCUCUCGUCACGCGCGCGGGUCCAGUUGCCUUUCCCGCCGCCUGACUCGUCG